rnacentral:rRNA from 1 species
AUUGAACGCUGGCGGCAGGCCUAACACAUGCAAGUCGAACGGUAACAGGAAGCAGCUUGCUGCUUUGCUGACGAGUGGCGGACGGGUGAGUAAUGUCUGGGAAACUGCCCGAUGGAGGGGGAUAACUACUGGAAACGGUAGCUAAUACCGCAUAACGUCGCAAGACCAAAGAGGGGGACCUUAGGGCCUCUUGCCAUCGGAUGUGCCCAGAUGGGAUUAGCUAGUAGGUGGGGUAACGGCUCACCUAGGCGACGAUCCCUAGCUGUUCUGAGAGGAUGACCAGCCACACUGGAACUGAGACACGGUCCAGACUCCUACAGGAAGCAGCAGUGGGGAAUAUUGCACAAUGGGGGCGAGGCUGAUGCAGCCAAGCCGCGUGUAUGAAGAAGGCCUUCUGGUUGGAAAGUACUUUCAGCGGGGAGGAAGGAAGUAAAGUUAAUACCUUUGCUCAUUGACGUUACCCGCAGAAGAAGCACCGGCUAACUCCGUG